UCACCAAAACGUGUUUCUGAGCUUGAAGGUCAAGCGUGGUUUUGAAUAGGAGUUUUAUUUUUGUUUGAUUUGCACAGAUUGUCUCCGGUUGAUUCGCUGAAGCUGGCUAUAUAAAGCUAAAGAUCCCACCUGAUCGCAUCGCCGUUGAUGUUAUUUAUAAUCCUCGUUCCAAUCAUAUCGUGAUAUCGUGUGUCAUAGGAGUUCUUUUCAGGAAUGGUUUUUGUUUGCGCUCGUGUUGUAGUCGUGAACUCUCUCGGUUUGCUGUUGUCUGUGUUUUUGUGAGUCACUUGCACUGAAAUACACACGCCACGAGACCUCAAAUCAUUCACCAUUUCAUCCCACUAUUAACAACAAAAACACGU